AACGUCCCAGUUCGGAUUGCAGCCUGCAACUCGGCUGCAUGAAGCUGGAAUCGCUAGUAAUCGCGGAUCAGAAUGCCGCGGUGAAUACGUUCCCGGGUCUUGUACACACCGCCCGUCACACCAUGGGAGUAGGUAAUGCCCGAAGUCGGUGACCUAACCGGAAGGAAGGAGCCGCCGAAGGCAGGACUUAUAACUGGGGUGAAGUCGUAACAAGGUAAC
rnacentral:rRNA from 1 species